CUCAAACUCAAAAGAAAUGCAAACCAGAAAAACUAGACUAGAAUAUUGCUACAGUUUGAACAUUACGCCGCGAAAAGCAGGUGCUGGGAACUUAACCCCAUACAACAGUGUUGGGAGGUUGGGCCUAAGGAGAGGUGUUUAGGUCAUGAGGGUUUCACCCUCAUGAAUGGAUUGGUGGUGCUGUUAUAGCAGGAGUGGGAUUAUUAUUCUGGGAACAGAUUCAUUAUAAAAGGGCAAGUUCAGUUCCCUUUUCUUCUCUGUCACCCUCUCUUUGCUCUUCCACCAUGGGAUGACACAGCAAGAGGGCCCAAGCCAGAUGUGGGCCCCAUGAUCCUGGAAUUCCCAGCCUCCAAAACUGUGAGCCAAUACACUUCUGUUUAUGAUUAAUUAUCCAUUCUGUGGGAUUUUAUUAUAGCAGCACAAAAUGGACUAAGAUACGAUGUCUUAUCAGUCUGGCCAAAAAAACCCCAAAAGCUGAAUAACAUAUUCUGUGAGCAUUUCUAUGAGGAAAUAGUACUACUCUCACACAUGUUCUCACACAUGACUCUCACAUGUGUGAAUAUAAAUUGGUAAAAGGGCAUUUUGGCAAAAUCUAUCAAAAUACCUUCAGAUAACCUAUUUCUGGGAAUUCAUCUUCGGAUAGACUUGCAUGAGUAAUAAAUGAUGUAUGUAUAAAGUUAUUCUCUGCAGCACUGUUUCCAUAGCCAAAGACUGGAAACAACCCAACUGUCGAUUAGUAAGGGGCUAGACUAGGUAGAGCACAGUCCAUCCACAAAAUGGAAUACUAUAUGGCUACGAAAAAGAAUCAGGGAGAUCUGUGUGUUCUAGUAGGGAAAGCUUUAUAAAGGAUACUGAGGGCCGGGUGCAGUGGUUCAUGCCUGUAAUCCUAGCACUUUGGGAGGCUGAGGCAGGCGGAUCACCUGAGGUCGGGAGUUUGAGACCAGCGUGACCAACAGGGAGAAACCCCAUCUCUACUAAAAAUACAAAUUUAGCCAGGUGUAGUGGUGCAUGCCUGUAAUCCCAGCUACUCAGGAGGCUGAGGCAGAAGAAUCGCUUGAACCCAGGAGGUGGAGGUUGCAGUGAGCCAAGGUUGCACCAUUGCACUCCAGCCUGGGCAACAAGAGUGAAACUCCAUCUCAAAAUGAAAUAAAAUAAAGGAUACUAAGUUUGGCCAUGCACGGUGGCUCACACCUGAAAUCCCAGCACUUUGGGAGGCCGAGGCGGGUGGAUCACUUGAGGCCAGGAGUUCAAGACCAGGAGUUCAAGACCAGCCUGUCCAAAAUGGUGAAACCCUUCUCUACUAAAAAUACAAAAAUUAGCCAGGUGUGGUGGUGUGCACGUCUGUAGUCCCAGCUACUUGGGAGAAUUGCUUGAACCUGGGAGGCAGAGUUUGCAGUGAGCUGAGAUCGUGCCACUGCACUCCAGCCUGGUGACAGAGCGAGACUACUUCUCAAAAAUAAAUAAAUAAACAAAUAAAUAAUAAAUAAAUAAAUAAACCAUAUUACUCUCCUGCUCAGAAACCUUCCAGUGGUUUCCCAUCACAUUGAUAAUAAAACCAAAUAUCCUUCCUGUAGCGGAGAAGGCCCACCAGCGUGAGCACAUCCUUGCUGAACAGCUCUCAGUUCAUCUCCCCUCGCUCACUGUCUUCCAGCCACACCGGCCCCCAGGCAGACUCUCGCCUUGGGACCUUUGCACUCACAGUUCCCUCACUUUAUUCAGGUCACUGCUAAAUGUCACCUCUGCAAAGAGGCCUUCUUUCACCUAAAAAAUACAAAAAUAAAAAAAAAUUCUUUUACACAGCCCUGACCCCUGAUUGCCAAGACGUUCUAGCCCCUUCCUUUCUUUGCUUCUCUUCAAAGCGAGUCUCACCAGUGAUGUCACACAUCUGUUGAUUGUCUCCUCCACUUCUAAGUUCCAAGAGGGGAGGGGACUGGAGCUGCCUUGU
rnacentral:lncRNA from 1 species